GUAGAUUGGUUGGUGAGGAAUGGUCGGACCUGAAACUUGAAGGUAAAAAUGAGGACACAAGAUACAGAUUUAUACAGGUUCUGGCCACUAGAGUAGCGUAAUACCCUACGUCCUAUUUUGGGGUGUUGUAUAUUGCGCCAUGCGCUUGGGUGUUGUUUGGUACUGAGGAUUUGGUCCUUUGUUAUGGUUCUAUGAGGUCUUCGCCUCUGUUUGUCUGAGUUGUUGAUCUAGGUACCCCUGCCCUCCUUUAUAUACUCAAGGGGUGGGAUUACUAGUCGGUUACAAGGAGUUCUAGUAGCAAUACAUGGUAUGAGCCCUAGUAGGAUUACAUAGGAAUCCUAGUAGGAGUCCAUCUUCUUCCUUCCUUGCGGAUACUGGGGAUCUAUCCCUGACAAGCCCCCGAGCGCUUCAU
rnacentral:lncRNA from 1 species